ACUGCCUGUGCCAUGACCUUAAUUUAAUAUUUCCUGCAAGCCAGACCAGCUCCGCUUGACUUCAACAAACCCAUUCACUCCGGCGCCGCCUGGGUCAGCCUCAUCCCGUCUCAGUGGAGUUUAAUGAACAAGCUGAAGUUUUUCCCUGAUAUACAUCACUGUGCAAUCUCACCUGGGGAUGGUAGAUCUAGCAACUGCUGUCCCUUCUGUGGACUCCCACAAAUCAUCUACUGAGCCCCCAGAGCACACUUCCAAGCUUGUUGAUGAUGUGCCAAAGGAACUUACAUCGGUCCACUGCCUCCUGCAGUAGCCACAGCAGAUGUGGAGACUUGAAUGGGGAGAGAAGAAACAACUUGUUCCUCACUCUGGAUUCAGGAUUCAUUUCCUCGGAGCCAGGAAAAGCCAGGCCUGGCCCAGAGACAAAGAACUGAGGCUGAAACGUGAGAAGGAGACAUAAAUGCUUAUUGCAUUUGCAGCUGAGUUUGGGGGAGCCUAUUAUGCAACCGCAUCGGGACUCUCACUAGCUGUGACAAGCCUGGCGGUGACCCCGCACCAGUGUUUGACAGCAUCCAGGCUGAUGUGUUCUCAGGCCAGUGCAGACAGCUCACCGUCCCUCACACCGCUUUGCCGCUGCCUGACCCCCUUC